AUUUUGCUGGAUUUUAUGUACACGUUCAUUUCUUUAAUUAAAUUUAUGUUUUUUAGCCAUUGUUAAUUUAUUUUCCAUAAAUGUUAUGUGUACAUCAACAGUUGUGUUCAUAUUUGUGUUCAAAUGAAAUACCCCAGCCGUUCAUGUUCAACUUUUUUAUUUUCAGAACAUGUAAAAGUAUGUGAUAAUCUAUAUGACAAUUGUAUAGAAAAUUGGUUGAGUUGCAGACCUUUUGCAGAAGAAUACUGCCACGGAAAUGUUGUUUUGUGUUAGAUAAGGGCAUUCAGAUUGAUUUCUUUUAAUAUGUAAAACUAAGAAACUUCAGGACACCUCUUUUUUUUUCUUUUUUUUUAUAUCAGCUGUUUAUACCACAUUGAUUCAUUCAUAGUAAGAAAUAUCAGUAAAUAUCCAGCAGGACAUUGAAGGUUGUGUAGUACAGUGAUAAGUCACACACAGUAUCUAUAGCAUAUUGAAAGAUGGAUUGUAUUUACAUAUUGUGAGUGUAAUUUUUAUUUUAUGCAAGCAAUCAAAGGUAGCAUUCUCAUAUUAUUGAAGAAACAAAAUAUAUUGCAGAUCAUGAUGUUACCAUGAAAUAAUAAAAUAUGUGUUGUUGAUUGU
rnacentral:sRNA from 1 species